GGAGUGAAAAAGAACCUGAAACCGUGUACGUACAAGCAGUGGGAGCCCCACCACUAAGCCAGUGGUGAACUCCACAUCCGCAUCCUUUGCUGAGGAUACGGUUAACGGAGCGAAAGCGACGUUCAACCGCAAAACAAGCAGAGGGGGCUUAGUGGUGGGGUGACUGCGUACCUUUUGUAUAAUGGGUCAGCGACUUAUAUUCUGUAGCAAGGUUAACCGAAUAGGGGAGCCGGAGGGAAACCGAGUCUUAAUUGGGCGUUAAGUUGCAGGGUAUAGACCCGAAACCCGGUGAUCUAGCCAUGGGCAGGUUGAAGGUUGGGUAACACUAACUGGAGGACCGAACCGACUAAUGUUGAAAAAUUAGCGGAUGACCUGUGGCUGGGGGUGAAAGGCCAAUCAAACCGGGAGAUAGCUGGUUCUCCCCGAAAGCUAUUUAGGUAGCGCCUCGUGAAUUCAUCUCCGGGGGUAGAGCACUGUUUCGGCUAGGGGGCCAUCCCGGCUUACCAACCCGAUGCAAACUGCGAAUACCGGAGAAUGUUAUCACGGGAGACACACGGCGGGUGCUAACGUCCGUCGUGAAGAGGGAAACAACCCAGACCGCCAGCUAAGGUCCCAAAGUCAUGGUUAAGUGGGAAACGAUGUGGGAAGGCCCAGACAGCCAGGAUGUUGGCUUAGAAGCAGCCAUCAUUUAAAGAAAGCGUAAUAGCUCACUGGUCGAGUCGGCCUGCGCGGAAGAUGUAACGGGGCUAAACCAUGCACCGAAGCUGCGGCAGCGAACGUAUCACCCAAGACAACUUUACGGAGUUGACGAUUGACGGAGCGAAGCGACGUCAAAGCGUUCAUUAAAGUCGAGUUGGCUUAGGGAUACGUUCGUUGGGUAGGGGAGCGUUCUGUAAGCCUGUGAAGGUGUGUCGUGAGGCAUGCUGGAGGUAUCAGAAGUGCGAAUGCUGACAUAAGUAACGAUAAAGCGGGUGAAAAGCCCGCUCGCCGGAAGACCAAGGGUUCCUGUCCAACGUUAAUCGGGGCAGGGUGAGUCGACCCCUAAGGCGAGGCCGAAAGGCGUAGUCGAUGGGAAACGGGUUAAUAUUCCCGUACUUGGUGUUACUGCGAAGGGGGGACGGAGAAGGCUAUGUUGGCCGGGCGACGGUUGUCCCGGUUUAAGCGUGUAGGUGUGUGUUCCAGGUAAAUCCGGUUCACUUUAACACUGAGGCGUGACGACGAGGCACUACGGUGCUGAAGCAACAAAUGCCCUGCUUCCAGGAAAAGCCUCUAAGCAUCAGGUAACACGAAAUCGUACCCCAAACCGACACAGGUGGUCAGGUAGAGAAUACCAAGGCGCUUGAGAGAACUCGGGUGAAGGAACUAGGCAAAAUGGUGCCGUAACUUCGGGAGAAGGCACGCUGACACGUAGGUGAAGUGAUUUACUCAUGGAGCUGAAGUCAGUCGAAGAUACCAGCUGGCUGCAACUGUUUAUUAAAAACACAGCACUGUGCAAACACGAAAGUGGACGUAUACGGUGUGACGCCUGCCCGGUGCCGGAA
rnacentral:rRNA from 1 species